rnacentral:tmRNA from 2 species
GGGGUCGACUGGUUUUGACAGCGAGUCGAAUUGAAUUGUAAGCAUGUCGAGCUAAGAAACUAAUGCUCGUAAAUAUCUGUUUCACCAUUUUUAAAUGGCGAGAAUAACUACGCUCUUGCUGCCUAAUCUGAAUUAUAGUAGGAUAUUGGCCUAGUUCCCACCAGGUGGGAAGGCGAGAUGUCUCUGGGAAGCCCUUGUUGACGGCGUCCCGAUUUGAGGCACCAUAAAAGUCAACAUAGAAACCAAACAGCUUCGGUGCGGUUUUAAAUUCUAAAGAGGCUAAGCGUGUAGUAGGCGGUUUUCGGCCGGCUACCCGAUGAAAAAUAAGCGAGAACUAAGCAUGUAGAAAGCAAUUUGAUUGCUUGUUUGGACGAGGGUUCGAGCCCCUCCGACUCCACUU